UGUUUAAGGAUGAAAAAAACACCCUCAAAUCUGAUGUGGCAUCUCCAAAAACUUUUGGAGCAGCGGUUAACAUGAACUCACGGAUUAGUCUCAUUUUCAAAGUGUAACCGUUCGUCAGAUUGUUGUGGCAGUUACUGUAUCUGUCUAUAUAAAGUAACUCUGAGUCAGUUACAUGAUUCUCCUUUUUUUUCUUGAAUCAAACUCGAAACCAUAAUGGGUGUUACUACAAAACAUCAUCUUCAUCAUCCCCAAUUUUCCGAUGGAAGGUUUUUAAUCAAUUUCCGUUGUAGAUAGCAAUGUCGAAACUUAAUCAAGUUUGGGAGCAGGAGUUAUUACGGAUACAUAUGAAUACUGGGUUGUGAAGUUGUGCUUCAGGCCCUGGAUUCAGAGGCUCAUUCAAACCUGUUGAUGGCAAAAGAGGUCCCACUGUGGUUGUUGUUAAGAAACUCAACAUAGAUGGUUUUCAGAUUAUUGCAGAAAGCCUAAACAUAUCCAGAAAGAAAGUUAUGAAUGCGAGUCAGGUCAUUGCAGAUAUUUGAACGGAGAACAACCCAUGGCAUGGAGUAGAUAAAAAGGCUCUCAAAGAGGAAGUAAACAAGCUCAGCUAUCAAAUUCUUGGGGAACGGGAGAGAUAUAUCAUCCAUCCAUCCAUCCGUCUUUAUUAUGGUCUUGACAAUGAAUGCCUUAUUUGGGAAGAUAUCGGCAAAAGGAAACAUCGAAUUUUCUUUUCGGGAUCUCGUGAAGAACUUUGACAGGCCAGGUGUUCCAAAGAUGUGGUUGCAAAGCUCAUUAGAGUGAAAGAUAGCUCAAAAAUGACUGUUUUGGAGGUCUUCAUUCAUUAUAUCAUGCAACUGUUUGGUAAAGGCAAUGCUAAAGUUAGUCUUUCAUCGGUUGGCUAUCAUAAUGAACUUCAGAAGGAAAGCACCCUGAAGAAAUGAAGGUACGUGAUACUUGAUCACACACUGUUGACUCCCAUGUGAGAGGCUUAAGACCGCUAUAAUGAUUAUAAGUUUUCAAUGUUCUUUCCUUCUAAAAAAAUAUCUAUGAAGACUUGAUACUUGGCAGUAUGGACCUUGCGAGUAGAAACACCGUAUUAUCCUACAGUUUCUGCAUUUGUAAGAUAAUGUUAAUGUUAAUAUGUUGCCUAAUUUUAUCAGGUUCCCCAAAAGUAUAGUUUAUCUCAAA